rnacentral:rRNA from 1 species
GACGAACGCUGGCGGCGUGCUUAACACAUGCAAGUCGAACGGAAAGGCCCUGCUUGCAGGGUACUCGAGUGGCGAACGGGUGAGUAACACGUGGGUGAUCUGCCCUGCACUUCGGGAUAAGCCUGGGAAACUGGGUCUAAUACCGGAUAGGACCAUCGUUUAGUGUCGGUGGUGGAAAGUUUUUCGGUGCAGGAUGAGCUCGCGGCCUAUCAGCUUGUUGGUGGGGUAAUGGCCUACCAAGGCGUCGACGGGUAGCCGGCCUGAGAGGGUGGACGGCCACAUUGGGACUGAGACACGGCCCAGACUCCUACGGGAGGCAGCAGUGGGGAAUAUUGCACAAUGGGCGCAAGCCUGAUGCAGCGACGCCGCGUGGGGGAUGACGGCCUUCGGGUUGUAAACUCCUUUCAACCAUGACGAAGCUUUCGGGUGACGGUAGUGGUAGAAGAAGCACCGGCUAACUACGUG